ensembl:snoRNA
AGUUUUCUGUGGUUCAUAAGCAUGAUGAUUGGGUUUUCAUGCUCAUGUGUAAGAUGUGCCUCCCUCAAACCUUGUUACGACGUUGGCACAUUACCCAUCUGAUG